rnacentral:rRNA from 1 species
UACGUAGGGAGCAAGCGUUGUCCGGAAUCAUUGGGCGUAAAGCGCGCGUAGGUGGCCCCAUAAGUCCGCUGUGAAAGUCAAAGGCUCAACCUUUGAAAGCCGGUGGAUACUGUGGGACUAGAGUACGGAAGAGGCGAGUGGAAUUCCUGGUGUAGCGGUGGAAUGCGCAGAUAUCAGGAGGAACACCAAUGGCGAAGGCAGCUCGCUGGGACGGUACUGACGCUGAGACGCGAAAGCGUGGGGAGCAAACAGG